GGGGAUGUAGCUCAAUGGUAGAGUGCUUGCCUAGUGUGCAUGAGGCCUUGGGUUCAAUCCCUAGUACCA
rnacentral:tRNA from 1 species